rnacentral:rRNA from 1 species
GGGGAAUAUUGCGCAAUGGGGGCAACCCUGACGCAGCCAUGCCGCGUGAAUGAAGAAGGCCUUCGGGUUGUAAAGUUCUUUCGGUAGCGAGGAAGGCACUUAGUUUAAUAAACUAGGUGAUUGACGUUAACUACAGAAGAAGCACCGGCUAACUCCGUGCCAGCAGCCGCGGUAAUACGGAGGGUGCGAGCGUUAAUCGGAAUAACUGGGCGUAAAGGGCACGCAGGCGGUGACUUAAGUGAGGUGUGAAAGCCCCGGGCUUAACCUGGGAAUUGCAUUUCAUACUGGGUCGCUAGAGUACUUUAGGGAGGGGUAGAAUUCCACGUGUAGCGGUGAAAUGCGUAGAGAUGUGGAGGAAUACCGAAGGCGAAGGCAGCCCCUUGGGAAUGUACUGACGCUCAUGUGCGAAAGCGUGGGGAGCAAACAGGAUUAGAUACCCUGGUAGUCCACGCUGUAAACGAUGUCGAUUUGGGGGUUGAGCUUUGAGUUUGGCGCCCGUAGCUAACGUGAUAAAUCGACCGCCUGGGGAGUACGGCCGCAAGGUUA